rnacentral:lncRNA from 13 species
CUCCUGCCUUAGCCUCCUGAGUGAUUUCUACUUUUAUUGCACGGUUGUCUGAAAAUGUGGUUGAACAUUAACCCUCGUGGCAGCAGGGAGAAUUGAUUGGAGUAAGAAGAGCUGUGAGCCAGAGAAUAAAUUACUGAACCAGCACAAAGAAGGUGGAGUCAAUGUAACGUGAGCUUGAUAAGAACACAGUGCUUGUCAAAGAGAACUUUCUGCCUGGUUGUAUUCAGUUUUACUACUACAUAAAAGAACAGAGCUAUGUCAUCUAUGCUGCAGGCAGCUGAAAUAAGUGGCACUGGAAAAGAA